rnacentral:rRNA from 1 species
GACGAACGCUGGCGGCGUGCUUAACACAUGCAAGUCGAACGGAAAGGCCCUGCUUUUGUGGGGUGCUCGAGUGGCGAACGGGUGAGUAACACGUGAGUAACCUGCCCUUGACUUUGGGAUAACUUCAGGAAACUGGGGCUAAUACCGGAUAGGAGCUCCUGCUGCAUGGGGGGGGUGGGAAAGUUUCGGCGGUUGGGGAUGGACUCGCGGCUUAUCAGCUUGUUGGUGGGGUAGUGGCUUACCAAGGCUUUGACGGCUAGCCGGCCUGAGAGGGUGACCGGCCACAUUGGGACUGAGAUACGGCCCAGACUCCUACGGGAGGCAGCAGUGGGGAAUAUUGCACAAUGGGCGGAAGCCUGAUGCAGCAACGCCGCGUGCGGGAUGACGGCCUUCGGGUUGUAAACCGCUUUCGCCUGUGACGAAGCGUGAGUGACGGUAAUGGGUAAAGAAGCACCGGCUAACUACGUG